rnacentral:rRNA from 1 species
UACGUAGGGGGGCAAGCGUUGUCCGGAAUCAUUGGGCGUAAAGCGCGUGUAGGCGGCUCGGUAAGUCCGCUCUGAAAGUCCAGGGCUCAACCCUGGGAUGCGGGUGGAUACUGCCGGGCUCGAGUCCGGAAGAGGCGAGUGGAAUUCCUGGUGUAGCGGUGAAAUGCGCAGAUAUCAGGAGGAACACCAAUGGCGAAGGCAGCACUCUGGGACGUGACUGACGCUGAGGCGCGAAAGCGUGGGUAGCAAACGGG